rnacentral:rRNA from 1 species
AACGGGCGCUGGCGGCAUGCCUAACACAUGCAAGUCGAACGAGACCUUCGGGUCUAGUGGCGCACGGGUGCGUAACGCGUGGGAACCUGCCCUUAGGUUCGGAAUAACUCCCCGAAAGGGGUGCUAAUACCGGAUAAUGUCUUCGGACCAAAGAUUUAUCGCCUUUGGAUGGGCCCGCGUUGGAUUAGCUAGUUGGUAGGGUAAAAGCCUACCAAGGCGACGAUCCAUAGCUGGUCUGAGAGGAUGAUCAGCCACACUGGGACUGAGACACGGCCCAGACUCCUACGGGAGGCAGCAGUGGGGAAUAUUGGACAAUGGGCGAAAGCCUGAUCCAGCAAUGCCGCGUGAGUGAUGAAGGCCUUAGGGUUGUAAAGCCCUUUUACCCGGGAUGAUAAUGACAGUACCGGGAGAAUAAGCUCCGGCUAACUCCGUG